AAAUUCGGUUCUAGAGAGGUUUG
rnacentral:miRNA from 1 species